AAAAAUAUUUUGAAGAAUGUUUCAUAUAAUAAAAUCAAAACAAUAUUCCAAUGACUUUUUUUUUUUUUUUUUGGAUAAAUGUUUUAUAUAUAUUAUGUCCCCUAGAAAGAUGAAAGUCGAGUUUGAAACAACAGCUACGGGUGACUAAAUAAUGAAAGAAUGUUCUUUUCUUUUCUUUUUUUUUUUUUUUGGUGACCUAUCCCUUCAAUUUAUUAGAAACAUGUUUUAUUGAAAGUACAGAGGUUAUCAGCUGGAUUUAACUUAUUUAACAACAGGACUCAGGUAAGCCAGAUUUUUGAUUUUUAUUUUUUUUUUUGGCCGCAUUACAAUGUCUCUGAAAAAGGUUGUUGAUUAGGGUCAUUUAUGUUAACUGUGUGUUGAAACCUAAUGUCAUACCAAUCAUAUAUGCUCUUCCAUCACAGCUGUGUUCUCCUCAAAAGGCUGAAUAACAGGUACUGUAAAAUUUCCUCUGCAAAUAUUUAUAAAGUCUCAUAUCACAGCUUAAAAUUCGGGCAGAGACAUAUUUUCCUAAUAUAUCCAAAUAUUUCCACAGUGUGUAACAUUGAGUCUAUUGGUUUGAGGCUGGGUGGAAUCUAAAAAUGUAAGAAUUGUUGGCCACAUUUCCAAAUCAUUCCUCAGUCACAUACUACAUUUUUGUCUCUUCUCUCUUUGCUUAGUCUGCAAUUUAUGGUCCUUUUUAAGGUUUGGUAAUUCAUAAUUGUUUGACAUUAUUUUCUGUCAUGUUUUAAUUAUGCACUAAAUUGGUAAAGUCUCUUUCCAGUCUGGAAUGAAUGAAGUUGCAUUGAAUUUGUAUACUUUUUUCCCUUCGCUUGUACAUUAUAAGCCACCAGCAGAUGGGUCUCAUUAUCAAGGGUCACACAAAAUCCUAAUUAGAUCAUCAAAAGGUGAUAAUUGUUCUUUAUAUAGUGCCAAAAAAAUAUUUUGUCUAAAUCAUACAGAUGCUCCAGUUGACACGUUUACGCUGGGAAUCUUUUAGCUAAUAGCGCAGCCAAUAGUUUAUUCAAGCAGGGUUUUUCUUAUUAUAUUAAAACCAACAUUUUAAAUAAUGGUGAUUAAUAUCACAAUAGCAGCAGUAUUCUGACUCGUCUCACCAUUUCGUUUGAUAAAAUAACCAUCAGGUCAAUCCUUCACAUGCUAACACACUCAAAUAGAGUUUUACGGUUGCACACUCAUUGCAGGCUGUAAUACCUUGCUCUGCAUUAACCUUUUACAGUGAUAUUUAAUUAAAGGUUUAAAGGGCACCCAACACCUGCACCAUGCUCUGAAUGCAGCCUCCGCCACUAAGUGACGGCACGACGGAGGAGUGUGGCAAUUAGCAUGACCUUAAAACAGGCACGGACGCUCUCUUGCCCAUGCUGUGCAGAGCCUUGCCUGCCCCAUGGCAUGCUGGGGCAAUCGAGAUGGCCCCCAAGCUGACAUGCUCCCCUGCAAAAGUGAGUGGAACCAGCCCAGAGGUCACUAGGGCAGCUCAGGACCUCUGGGAGGAGGUGGGAGAGCCCUAGACUUAAAAUUAACACCACUUGAAUUCAUCUGUGAGGUAAAUCUAGCAGUGAGGGUCAUGUAGGUCUAUCGCAGUUAAUAAAUGCUGUCUUAAGAUGACAAUGAGAGGCCAAAUCAGGCUAGUUUGGGCUGGCUUUUUUGUCAUCAUUUACUCACCCUCAAGUUGUUUUAAACCUGUAUGACUUUAGUUCUAUUGUGGAAAACAAAGACAUUUUUUGCCCAUACAAAUCUUUUUUUUUUCUUUCAACCUCGUUGAUUCUUAUUGUAAUGGCAAAAGAAAUGAAAUAUUCCACAGAAUUUUCUUUUUUUUCCACAGAGGGAAGAAAGUUUGGAAUGAAUGGAAUGGAAUUGGGAGGGUGAGUAUAUGAUGACAGGAUUUUCAUUUUUGGGUGAACUAUACCUUUAUUUCUUGAAAAAAUAUUUCCAAGAAAUAUAUGUGAAAAAUUGGACAGUCCAGUGAGUCAAAUUGUUUCUUGACCUGGCAACAUUUUCACUGGCCCUGCCACAAAAAGUUGCUGUUCUUACUGUUUUGUGUUAUCUUAUAUUCUAAUAGAUAAGCUUAUAUGACACCAACAUUUUAGACACCAAUUCAAUUUUACAAUUCAUGUUUCCAAUUUCGAUACUACAGCAAAAACUACUAGCCUAACAAAUAUACAGUUUAAACAUUAGUAAAGACAACUGAACAGCCAGUAAAUGACAAAUGAACAAAAUACAACAAUAGCACAAUUAAAUACAUAGAACAAAGAUACAAAUUAAACAGUGCUUAGGUCUUUGGGCUUGUAGGUGUUUGGAUACAGAAACUGAAUAAUCAGAUGUAAAAUAACAUUGCAUAUUUUUCACUCAAUGAUGCAAUAUUGAUUUUUCAUGGCUGAUUCAAUUUUUUUCUUUUUUUUUAUUACAAAUUGCCCGAUUAAUUUUUUUUAAAUAUUAAUUUUAUUUUUAUUAAGCAAGAAACAAGAAAGAAUGAAAAUGUCUGAGAAAAUGAAAGAGGCAAUCAUUGCAUUUUAGUCACGAAUGCUACACGCAUGUAACGUGCAAUUUUUGAUUCAGAUUAAUUUGUAUAAUUUGAAAAUUUUAAGCAAAAACAGAAUGGUCUGACUUUAGAAAUUGUACAACCUAAAAUAUAUCUGGAUGAAAUAAAAACAGCAGAUGGGCUGAAUGAGAACGCAAAUUCACUCUGACAGCAGGUGCCCCUUCUGGAACAGCAGCAAUACUGCGUUUCCUUGGUUACUGCUGUGAACAAAGCAGCCCUGCACUUAUAAAUACUACUCACUAUGCAUUACAGAUUCAAGAUGAAAAGAAAGCGCCAUGUAAACUUUUUUGAAGACAUUCUGCUCCCCUCAGAGACAUAUUCAUAUAAACCCACACCCACAAUUCAAUAAGAUUUUCUUCCAAAAUUGUAUUUCCAAUAUACUGUGCUCAUGCCUCCUACAGUAUUUUCUCCUCUUUGCGUCCAUCUUCAGCAUCUCUGGUCUCUGUUAACGGCCCUUUACACACUUCAGAAUAUCUCCACACAAAUGACAUUUUGGAAAAUGAUUGCAAUGCAAUUUUUGUGCAAGCCCGGAACAGUAAUCUGAAAUAAAACAAAAAAUGGCUGGCCGACCUGUGAAUCUAUAUAUAUUAAAAUAAUAAUAAUAAUAAUAAAAAAUUAAUAAAUAAACUACACUGUAUUAAUGAAAUAUUGAUUAAUCAUUGUUAAAGCUACAAAGUUGCUUGCCAAGGCCAGGAUUAUGACAUAUUUUUGUAUGUAUUUUUCUGUUCAAGCACAAGAAUGUGCACGCUGCAUUCUUGCUUGAAUGCUUUAAAAUCGCUUGAAUUUUUUUAAUUAGCAAGGCUUAAAACACAUGAAAAUGAUAAACUUUCGUGACGAUGCAGCAGUGGCGUAAUCCCAAGCGUCUUUCACACUGGUCCCGGGCCAUUGGCAUUCCUUAUUGCCCUGCAGUCAUUGAAUCGUAGUGCAUAAAUUAAGUGGAAUAUACUGCUACUGCUGGUUUGACAUUCACGCAAAAGCAUCCCCCUCAUACACACUCACACACAUCUGCCCCCACCUUCCACUGCAACCCCCUGCCAGGUCAGGAGCUCUGGUAGACCCUGGGCUAGCCCAGCCAGGGGAUCAUGCUGUGCUAAUAUUUCUGUUAGCUUGAAUGGCUCACUGACAUGUUUAUUUGGAUUAGCAAGUUGUUUUCAUCAAAAUCAAUACAUGGCACAGGAAUGGGAAAGCAAUGAUUGUAAUGCAAGGCUUAGCAUCGGGAUAACACACCAAUCUGUCUUGACAUGAAGAGGAUGUGUUGACAUUGGUGUGGUGGAGCGGAUAGCUUAAGAGCAGGUGAAGGCGAAUGGAGAGAGAAAGAAGGUGGUUUGCCGCUCUUUCAAGCGGACAUCUAAUCUGCGAAAGAUAGAUGUCUAUAUAACUCGUGGCUCUAGAGUCUAGACUAAAUAUAUAGAUAAAGAUGACAUAGAUAGAUAUAUGACACUGAUUCAAACCGCUUUCUCACAAGUUAGAAUAUUUUUCACUGAAAUAAUCUGUUCAUAAGUGUCAUAUGUUUAUUUCUGUGUGCAGGAAACACUGAUGCAAAAGAUGCAGUGACCUAAUAUCAUCUCACAAGAUGAUAUCUGAUGAAACUGCACAUGGAUGUACAAGUUUUCCCAACUGUCACCAAAGUGACUUUUCAGAUAUUGUUUAAAUGUUUAUAUUUUGUUAUAUUUACAAUGAUUUUUGUCACAGCCUAAUGCCCUAACACUAGUCCAACAAUAUUUGUAUUCUAGCACUGCACAGAUUUGUAGGAUUUCAAUCAGAUUCAGUUAAAAUUGGGCUAAAAUUUCCUUUUCCCAUAUGUAAUGAAACUCUGAAUGCCAGAACACCACACAUAUUACAUUUCAAUGUUGAAAUGAAGGAACGCAAAACUCUCUUUCCCCGAGGAACAGGCCUGUUCAGCAAAUCAGUUCGAUACAAAUUAAAACACUGACCAAAAUGACACACACUUUGAUUCAGGCUGGUUGUGAGGAUGUAUGCUAAAAAUUAGAAAGGAAAUGCGUGACGGAAUGGAGUAAGUACCGUUUUAGAAUAACAUGCUUUUAAACAGCUUUCCGCAGAUCACUUAUCAUUUCGCAGCACCUUGGGACAAGCUAAUGAAAUAUAAUCAGAGCUAAAUGGAAGCUAAGUGGAAGGGGAAAAGUUGAAUAUUCACGUUCAUUUGGAUGACAGCUGGGGGAGCCCAGUCAUUCAUCACACAUUGAUAUUCAUUGCAUUCUGUAACCCUCUUCUCCCCUCCUUCCUCCUCUGCCUUGACAAUCAACAGCCUUAGCUCUUUUUGUUUUAAUUUAAUUAAAGAUGUGAUUGCCAGGGUGAAAACUUCAUUUACACACAUGCAGAGGGAAAAAAGAAACAGGAAGGCUCAUAAGGAGAAAAGAAAGAACAAUUAGUCCAAAGGAAAUAAAAAUUUGGUCACAAGGGCACAAAGGUCACAAGGGCACAAAGAGCCAUAAUAGAAACAAAUCUUUUAAAAUGAAGGAAAAACAUGUCACGUUCUUAGAAAUGUCUUAGUUUUCAUGUUGGUUUCAUGUGGUUUUAGGUUCAUUUAUUUAUUUUUUUAAAGAAAUCAAUUUAAUGGCUACUUAACAUUUUUUAACAUUUAAUUUCAAAAUUUUAAAAUUAUGUAAAAACAUAAAAUGUGUAAUGUAAAUUACAAACUCUAUGUCAUCAUGUCUUCCCUUAUUGGGGAGUCACACCAUGACACUUUACAAUCAGGAAUCUUUUAAUGAUUUUUUCUUCUAUAUAUUAUGAAAGCAGAAUAGUUGUAUCCCCGUGACAUUUAGAUUUUAUGCCCACCAAAAAUGAAAAAUUAUUUUUAAUUAAAAAAUUUAGAAAAUGCUCAUCACAGAAGAGGUGUAUUCAAGUCAAUGUAUGUAUGAAAAUAAAUUUUUAAUUAAUAAGCAGUUAAGACAAAGAAUAUUAAGGCUGAUUUAUACGUCUGCAUCGAAACGCCGUAGGUUGUGCGUAGUACGUGCAGGCUAUAGCAUAGCCUGACGUGCACCUCUCCAAAAAUGGCACAGCGUGUAAAAUCUACGCAGACCGCAAGGGCUGUGAUUGGUCUGCUAGUACCCAUCCCUCUGUAUGUAUUUGAGUUUUGUGUGUGUUUUUUGCACUUUGAUAUAUUUUAAUGUUACACCAUCUUAUUUAAAAUAAAACAAAGCAAAGAACAAAAUUUAAAUUUAUGCAUACAGCAGACACUUUUAUCUAAAGCGACUUACAGUGCAUUCAGGCUAUCAAUUUUUACUUAUGUGUUUGUUAAUGCAAUGCUCUACCACUUGAGCUACAGGAGCACUACAAGUGCUAGAAGAACAAGUGCUUGUUCUGCUACAAGCUAGAACAAGUGUCUUAUCAUUUAUUAUAAAACAUAGCAUUACAUCCACUUUGUUGUUCAUGACAUAUAGUUGUUCUGUCAUUAGUGGUCGACUGAUAUUGUUUUUUUGACAGCCGAUGCCGAUAUCUUGGAAAGCAGGGGGGCCGAUAGCCGAUAUAUAUAUUUCUUACAUUUUAAUCAAUAUUUAAGAAAUUUGAAAUCAUUUGACAAUGGAUUAAAAAAUAAAUGUGUAAAAUAAACAUACUUAUACUUUAGAUGACAAAGUACUUUUCACAAAUAAAUAAAUAUUUAAUAAAAAUAUAAUUAAAAAGGAAGUAAACACUGUAACCAACAGGGCACUCAGUAUUCUGGGAAGUUUGUGUGUAUUGGGAAUCAUAUUUUUUAAAAUAAAGCCAGGGUAACACUCAUUUUACAUACAGCACACAGAGAAAAUGACAUGAAUAUGAAAGUGGGCAAAUGCAUAAAGCGCAGCUUUUUGUCACGCCAUUGGCCCAGAACACAAAGAACAUCAAAUUUGGUCCAGUAACCCUGGACCUGCAGUUGUGCUUGAAUUCAGAAGCAUUUUCCAUGCACAACAAAGGUGCAGCAGGUAGGGAAUAAUGAGUUGAUUUGAGAUUCAGUCCUGGUUCUCCUCUCUGCUCAGGCCCCAGGCUUCACCCCCCCCCCCCCCAAUCUCAACUAGCUGUCUUGUAGGAGAGGCUUAUCUUAAGAGAGACCUCUGUGUAGCCAAAGGCUCCUGGCCUGCCCUGAUUAAAGGAGUGCUGCUUUUUACCCAUGCUGAGUCUAGAUCAAUGCUGAGAUGCUUUCAGCCUGCCUAUCUGAAUUUCAAUAUUUUCAUAUCUUAGUUCUUGACUUGUUGCACUGUUAGAUCAUUAUUAGGGGAGCUGGCCCUACUCAAGCUGUCUGUCAUUAAGCAAAUGAAGCUGGCCUGGUGAGGAUGAGUGGCGUCUUGUUCUCUUUUAUUUUUUAACAGGGCACUAAAGAGCUCUGUCAUCUUUAUCUUUUAUCUCAGAGCUCACCGUUUCUUCUUUUUACCAAUGACCUGCAGAUGUGGCAUCCCUUUCUAUAGCAGCCAUAUUAUUUGUAUGCUUUCCCAUGAGUCCUUCUGUUUAAUGGUUAGCUGUGGCUAUGCCCAAUAAACUGCAUACUCAAUCUAAGCAUUGUUUUAGGGUUGUUUUGGAAAGAGACAGAGACAAGUACAUUCCAACUCAAACAUGUAUUUUUGUGUUAAUGAAGUCAACAGCUUGAUUGUAAUGACAACUGUUCAAAUCAAAUACAAGGUCACAUGUUUGUUAAACAUACUAAAGAGUAAAAUAUUUUAUGCAGAUGUAGUCUUGUUCAGAUUACAAGCACUAUAUGGUGGUAAAACUAUCCAAGGCUUGCCUCCAAAUGUUAGGUAACAGGUUGGGAACCACAAACUAGUGGUUUAGGCCAAUUUACAUCUAGUAUUAACAUCCAUCUUGAGUGAUCCAAUCUCAAGUUGUCAGCGUUAAUACAGGUGUAAAUAGGGUCCAAACAUUCUUAAUCAGAGUGAAGGACCAGGUCUACUCAUGUAUCAACCAAUCACUGUGCUAAAAAAAGUAUUCCAAUUAUGUCUGGCAUCUACAUGUAGAGAUCAUUAAAUUAGUUUGAAUAAAAGCAUUUGCUAAGUGAAUAAAUGCAAAUUUAACUUGUUAGAUAAUAAUAAGUAUUUCACUAAAAACUUUAUAUUUGUGGUGAGAUGAAAAUGUAAGCCGAUUCCAAAAAAAGUUGGGACACUGUACAAAUUUUGAUUAAAAACAGAAUGCAAUGAUGUGGAAGUUUCAAAUUUUCAAUAUUUUAUUCAGAAUACAACAUAAAUUACAUAUCAAAUGUUUAAACUGAGAAAAUGUACCAUUUUAAGGGGAAAAUAAGUUGAUUUUAAAUUUCAUGGCAUCAACACAUCUAAAAAAAGUUGGGACAAGGCCAUGUUUACCACUGUGUGGCAUCCCCUCUUCUUUUUAUAACAGUCUGCAAACGUCUGGGGACUGAGGAGAUAAGUUGCUCAAGUUUAGGAAUAGGAAUGUUGUCCCAUUCUUGUCUAAUACAGGCUUCUAGUUGCUCUACUGUCUUACGUCUUCUUUGUCGCAUCUUCUGCUUUAUGAUGUGCCAAAUGUUUUCUAUGGGUGAAAGAUCUGGACUGCAGGCUGGCCAUUUCAGUACCCGGAUCCUUUUUCUACGCAGUCAUGUUGGAAAAUGCAAGGUCUUCCCUGAAAGAGAUGACAUCUGGAUGGGAGCAUAUGUUGUUCUAGAACUUGGAUAUACCUUUCAACAUUGAUGGUGCCUUUCCAGAUGUGUAAGCGGCUCAUGCCACACGCACUCAUGCAACCCCAUACCAUCAGAGAUGCAGAGAAAACACCAGCACUUCUGGAUCAUGUUUAGAUAUGGCUUCUUUUUUGACCUAUAGAGUUUUAGCCGGCAACGGUGAAUGGCACGGUGGAUUGUGUUCACCACAAUGUUUUCUGGAAGUAUUCCUGAGCCCAUGUUGUGAUUUCCAUUACAGUAGCAUUUCUGUAUGUGAUGCAGUGCCGUCUAAGGGCCCGAAGAUCACGGGAAUCCGGUAUGGUUUUCCGGCCUUGACCCUUACGCACAGAGAUUGUUCCAGAUUCUCUGAAUCUUUGGAUGAUAUUAUGCACUGUAGAUGAUGAUAACUUCAAACUCUUUGCAAAUUUUCUCUGAGAAACUCCCUUCUGAUAUUGCUCCACUAUUUUUCGCCGCAGCAUUGGGGGCAUUGGUGAUCCUCUGCCCAUCUUGACUUUUGAGCGACACUGCCACUCUGAGAGGCUCUUUUUUUUAUACACAAUCAUGUUGCCAGUUGACCUAAUAAGUUGCAAAUUGGUCCUCCAGCUGUUCCUUAUAUGUACAUUUAACUUUUCCGGCCUCUUAUUGCUACCUGUCCCAACUUUUUUGGAAUGUGUAGCUCUCAUGAAAUCCAAAAUGAGCCAAUAUUUGGCAUGACAUUUCAAAAUGUCUCACUUUCAACAUUUCAUAUGUUAUCUAUAUUCUAUUGUGAAUAAAAUACAAGUUUAUGAGAUUUGUAAAUUAUUCCAUUCCUUUUUUACUCACAAUUUGUACAGUGUCCCAACUUUUUUGGAAUCGGGUUUGUAAGUUAUAUUUGGGAGCAACAGGAGGUGAGAGACAACAACUGAUGCAAUAUCUGAUUGAUCUGGAUUUUAACCUGUGACAUCCUGCCUUUUUCAUUAUCCAAUGAAACCACACAAAAUCCUUGAAAGAUAUGCUGUGGAAUUCAUAAGUAGCCAAAACCAUUAACAAAAAUAAACUUAGAAACAAAGUUACUUGGUAGGAAAAUGUAUUUACCUGCAAUACAGGGGUGUUAAUGUUCUGCACAUGCAAGUGUUGAAUCUUCUUUGACACUUCAUACAUUUAUUUCAAUCAGUUUAUUUCUAAUAUCCAGUACAUCCUGCUACUGCUUUGUCUUGUGUCUGCAAAAUUAUCGCAUAAGACAGUUUUAUGUGAUAGAGACUAAAGCAAGGGUGUCAAACUCAGUUCCUGGAAGGCCACAGCCCUGCAGAGUUUUGUUCCAAUCCCGUUCCAACACACAUACCAUGUAGUUUUCAAAUAAGCCUGAAGGACUUGAUAAGUUGGAUCAGGUGUGUUUAAUUGGGGUUGAAUCUAAACUCUGCGUGGCUGUAGUCCUCCAGAAACUGAGUUUGAUAUCCCUGGACUAUAGGUUUCAGUUCGUCAGCGAACGAUUCCAAUGAUAUAGACUGAAUCGCGAGCCUAUUCAGAUUAUGCGUUAAAUGGUAUUCACAAUUUGACACAGAGUGAUUCUUUAACAAAUCGGGCAUCGCCAGUUCUGAUUUUAAACAGUAAACAAAAGGGAUAAUUAUAUUGUGGAAAAAUAUUAACAGGUCAGUUGGUUUAUAUAGGCUACCCUCAGCACACAAGGAUUUAACAGACAAGGAUUCUGCUCUUAAUUUAGAAAUAGCGAUCUGAGUAGACAAUGAAGGCAUUUGCACUAUCAGUGGCAUUAUCUCAGGUCUGGAGAGGUGUUAGCUCUCUGAAGCCAAGCGUUCCUUGGAUCAAAUAACAUUUCUGGAGCAUAGAAUAGCAUACAUGUUAAAAUAAUCAGGGUCAAGCCAAUGACCUUAGUUGGCUCUGUUUUUGCCCAGUUCUACAAGUUUGAGAUUAGCAUUGUGGCAAAUGUAUUAAAUGAGGCAAGCACAGCUUUUGAAAGUGGAUUUGUGAGUACAAUGGAAAGAAUUUCAAUAUGGAAAGUCUCUGGCUUAAAAAAAAAUUAAUAAUAAUAAUAAUAUGAAAGAACUUUCCCCAAAGGCUUGGCAGUUACAAAACGACUGCUAGAUAUUGUCUGCCCCAAACUAUUGAGUCUGAUCCAUUAGCUUAAUUAGGUUUAUGUAAGUACUCUUUAUUGCAUUAGUAUUAGAAUGCAUGCUUUUGACUUUUUUGGUUACUGCAUACUUUAGAUUGUUCUGUCAAGUGUAAGAUUGCUGUAAAACAGAUCUUAUCUAAUUGAGGUUUUUGCCGAGGUGCAAAAUUUUCAUUGCUGUGUCUGUCUGAAUAGCCUAAACUUUGACACGUGUAUGUUUUUCUAGUUAAAAUUGCAGUUUUACAUCCUAUUUGCUACCUCAGUUCAAAUUCAAGGCAUUCUCAAUUUAAUUCUGAAUGGUGCACAACCCUGAUGGAGACACCUGUACAUCUGCAGCUGCAGUCUUUGGCCAAUGGCCCGACAUCUUGGUUAAUUUGGUCUGGCUUCCCACGUCUUAACUACUGUAAGUGUGCCAUCCCACCUCCCAGCAGUCUAAAGAAAACUCAGGUCAAGCCCUUAGCAGUUUAGUAGUGGAAAUCCUCACCGCUGCUCUUGACAUGUUAAAAAGGCCAUUUUCAUCUAUUGUCCAAAGAAAGGCAGGAGGAAAGGACUCUCUGUAGCUGUAAAUAACUGUAAACAUCCAGGUAAUAGAGGCUGUUUUGUGUUUCCUGGCCAUGAUUGUUACCUUGUUAUCUCUGGCUUUUAUGUUAAUAAUCAGACAUACCUUUUUGUAUGCGCAGUUGCUUUUUUGUUGAGCUUGUUGAAAAAGGGGUGAAUCUCCAAAAAAAGGGGAGGGGUAUCUUUGCCCCUGUUACCUAAGGGGAUUUUACCCCACCCUGCCCAAUUUUCACCUACCUCUGUUUACUUGCAGUCCUCUCCGUAUGUCACAACAUUUACAUGUCUUUCCUUUUGCUUCAAUUUGUAUGUGUUAGAUGAGGAAAAAAAAAACCUAAUAGAAGUGCAGUCCCCCUGCAACCACUAAAACCCCUCCGCUGGCCAGCCAAUGGCCAUUCACGGCAGAACAAACAAAAAUCAAAUGGGAGCUAUGCUUUUAGCUUUUAAUUCUAGCUCCAAAAGUUUCCAGCUGCUUCCAUAAUUAUUACCUUUUAAAGAGUAGGAAAAUGGCGAGUUAAUUCACAUGGUGGCUUUCUCUAUCUUUUUGUCUCUUUCUCCCUUACUCCCUGCCUCAUUCUCUCCUUCCUCCACUCUCCACCCCAAACCACAACAGGUAAGCUCUACUGUUAAAUGAAGGUCUUUUUUAGUUGUAAUUUGGUUUGAAAAUCCUCUGGCCUGCCCAGAUUAUUCUUAGUUGGGUCUCUGUUUCCUGUCAGUAUGAAGGAGGUGCACCUUGUGCACAGGGAGAGGAACAAUACGGCCUUGUCCCAGGUUCCUCUGACCCCCUGCGCUGCCUGUCAGUCUGCAAUUAUCAUGCAAGGCCCCCUCUAGAAACAAAAGGCCUUGAUGGGCUUUGUGGCCCAACAGGACCCCAGCAUUGUUAUUGAGUCCCUUGUGAGUAUUUGCUCUUGAGCCUGUUUCUCAAUCUGUAAGACCUUGAUGCCGAUGGUUUUGUUAAUCUGAGGAAUAGCACUUAAGUAGGUGAUCUGCUUCGAGUUGUGCCACCAUGUGGGGUUGAUUUUGAUCAAAACUGAUAAAAAGCCACCGUAAAAAUAUGCUGAAUUAAUGAAGUUGGCGUAUGCUUCAGCUAGAUGGUGUGUAUCUGUAAUGUCCUGUAAUUGUAUUAGUUUGCUUACUAUAUAUCAGUGUGUAUUUAAGGGGUUUGGGGUCAGUACAUGUACACGGGGAGACAUAGACCUGCAGUAUUGUUAAAGCAUGGGUGAUGGAUGGCUGUGGUUGCACAUGAUCCCGGCCCCUGCUGGAGAGGGCACAAAACAACUCGGCUUCAUAUUGUCCUUGUUCUGUGUGACAAUGGGCCACUUGUGGGUCUGACACUCAUCACCUGUUAGUCAGCUUCAUUCGUAUGAAAAUACUACCCUGCCACAGUUCCAGCACUGUAGGUGCUUUUCCCUCCAGGCCUGUAUGUUUAUUUAGACAAUGGUGGCCAUCACUAAGUGACAUUUGUAAUUGAGAGCUUUUCAUAUCAUGCAGAGGUGGAUGUCUUUCAGAGAUACAACCGCCCACUGGACUUCUGAGGUUAUAGGCAAACUGAAUGUUACUUGAUGAGUUUCACUUAUCAUCUAAUUUUGUAGAAUAUUAUAGAAUAUCAUUAUGUGUAAAGCCAAAAAUACACCAUAACAUUAAUAAAAUAAAUACAAUAAUACACACACACACACACACACACACACACACACACACACACACACACACACACACACACACACACACACACAUAUAUUUGUUUACUUAUUUUAUUAAUGCUAAAAAAAUUUAGUUUGAACAACUGUACCUACAAAACAUCAUAAUAAUUACAUUAUUAUUUGUAUUAUUAUUAGCAAUAACAAUAAUAUAAAAAAUGACAAAUUUAUAAAAAUAAUUAUUGUCACUUUAACAAUAACACAUUAAUAAUAAUAAUAAUUUAAUAUUUUUGACAAAUUACUAUUUAUUAUUAUUUUUUUUUUUUAUUGCAUUUAUUUCUGGUCCCAUUAUAUACAUGAUUUUAAUCUGGAUUUUUCAUUUCCACAAACAAAACUGCCACCACCCUAACUCAAGUUAAUUUAUAUGCUUUCAGAAACAAUAUAUUCAAAGAAAACGUAUCAUAAUGUUUUAACUGUGUAAAUCCAUACAAUAACGAUAUCUGGUAUUAUCUCCCAGGUUUCCAAGGUGUCUGAAAGUCUUGCAUGUGACUUUCAUAAAAGCAAACAUCUGCUUGUAAUAGUGGUCCUGCUAUAGCGAGGCUGAGAGGAGUUGACUGAGGAUGGCGGAGGUGACUGACAGCAUCCCUGGCCCUGUUGUGCCUGGCAGAUGUGGAGGUGUCACAAUAGUGAUGAAUUGUUUACACUCACCUGUCUGCCAUGUCCUUCAGCGUCAGGGGGAUAGGCCCGGGCGACGGGUAAGGGGUGGCAGCACUGCCACAGGGUCAACAAUAUCUUCAGGUGCGUGUAUGAACAACUGCGACAAACGUGUCAAACAUGGAUGUUCACACAGCAACAUUCACAGGUGUGGGGAUUUUCAGCGAGGGCAGGUUUUUGCCAUGUUUUGUAUAUAUGCUUGGAGUGUGUCUGUUUCGACUCUGUGUUGCCGGUAGCCACUGAAUGGCUCGUGUCCUACGGCGUAAUUAAAUUCUUUUGUGAGGACGGAAGUGUUUUUGCAAAUGGCGUGAAUUUUGCACAACUUUUCUUGUUCCUGCUGAGAAAAUUAGCAUGUUAAUAAGCACGUUGUUUACUCAAAAAUGUGUGGGAGAUUUUUCUCUUAUUUCUCUCUCCUCAUGCAAUAUUUAAAAAUAAAUGGCAAAAAGAGGAAAUAAAAUAUUCAGCUAUGAUUUCAUGACAGCUAGCAAGCACCAUUUUGAAUGGACCAAACCCACAGUGUGUUCCUCCACGCCAGAGUGACUAAACAAAGCCGUUACGCUGUCCAGUAUAAGCAUGCAUCCAUGAGUAAUACAGUAAUAUACCAAGACAAAAACAGAACAACAAUGUUCAGUUUGACUGACAGCUCAGUUAAGAUGAUGUCUGCUUGAUUAGAAUCUCUCCCAAAUCCAUAUUUUCUUGAUUCUGGUAUAUCAUAUCACGACGGCCCGAUCAUACCACGAGAGAUGACAACCAUCAUGUUUUAAUCCACUGCAUCGCUCCAGAGUCAUACACUAUUCCAUUUUAACUGCUUCUGCCUGGGCUAUUCUCCCCAUUGUUGAUUUAUUCAUUAUUAACAACCGUUCCCCCCUUUUAGAUCAAUGUUGCAAAGCGGCCCCCUAAAAAUGUGGACGGGAGUUCUCUUCAAAGUAGCCAUGCUCGAGUAUUCAGCCAUCUGUGCUCAGACGCACAGCAGUAUCUGCAUUAAAUAGCCCCCUUAGUAACAAGCCACGGAAAAGCUAUCUGCUCCAUGAUACGUUCAAACCUCAUUGACUGUGAAGGGAGACGCAUCAAAACUGUUCUGUGUUGCUAUGGCAAUGGAGACCUCAAUAAGUUAAUCUUUGCCAUUUCUUCCUCCUUUUUUUGUGCCCAACUCAGUGGUAGUCAAAUGUUUGUGUGUGUGUGUGUGUGUGUGUGUGUGUGUGUGUUUUGCACUAUUCAGAGGGCUUGUGCCCCCCCCCCCACGUCAGUAGUUUUGUCACGAGUCAAUGUAGAUGGUUCUUCGUAGCAAUUAGCAUCUAAAAACGGGUGAAAAUACAUAUAGUACUUGUGUUUUAAAAUACUGUACAUUUUAAGCCUUACAAUCAUGCUGGUUUACUUCAUUCCACAUGUAAUAGUGGACUGCUUCUUGUAGUACUGUAAAUAGCAUAUUUGAGUAAAAUGCAGUGUGGGAAUACAAAUGUGGCCGUGUAUUUGAAUGAAGUAUGGCUGAGUUUGGUCAGAUGCGCUUCGAGGAAAGUUUCCUUUGAUCCGAACACUACCAGGGUGAAGUCGUGAAUGGAUGUACACUCUAGGAAUAUCAAUGCAGCGCUAGUCGUCUCCACUUCUGACCGCCUGCUAGCAUGUGCUAAUUCACAACGUAGCUCAGAAAACUGGGUAUUUGAAAACCUGAGCCUUAAAUUUCACAUUUCAUCCUUUUCAAAAUCCUCACCUUUAUAUUCAAAUGCCAUCUGACCGCUGACAGUGAUGAGGCCAUGAUUUUAAAUAAUAUCGUGCUAAUGCACGUCUCGUGAAAGCUUGGAUUUAUUGCUUUUCUAAUCAUUCCGAGUGUUGUUAGCUGUCGUGAUGUGUUGCGGCCUCUGUUGAACACAGCUGCGCUAAUGUAAUUCUGCUGAGAUGAAAGGGACCGGCUGGGUUGUGUGGUUUACUGUUGCUGUGAAACAUGGACAGAACGCAGCCAAUUAGAUCUGCUAAAGUGACACGAUCAAGCAGAAAUACUGUGUGUGGCUUUUUUAAUGGCUGAAGUCGGCUCUGCCGGAUCACUUUAAUGGCUGCCAUAUGCCAUGUUUGGUUUGGCUGGUUUCCCGCAAGAUGUUGUGCUUGUGUUUUGCGGCUUUUAAGAUUGUCAAGAUUUCUCUCAUGUCAUGUUUAAUGUUCCUCACUGCUGUUUGUGAAUGUGGACGGACACCUCGCGAGUCAUUUUGACAAUGCAACAGCCUUGAAUGGGCCGUUUCUUAAAAUUAAAGACUUUCAGCAGUGAAACAAAACAGCAUGUACAUUUCAGAGAGUUUCCACUAUUGUUAUUUAUUAUAAACAUCAGAAUUUUUAUUUUUAGGUGAACCAUCCCUUUAAAUCCUUUAAGAAACAGCAAAAAAGUUGUGCUCAAAAGGGUCACCGCCUCUCAAAUGUGUGUGUAUAUGUUUUGUAGAAUUAGAGCAAAGACCCACAUUCGAAACAUAAGUGCCAGGUAAAUGCAUUCGAUAUUAUGGCCCUUGUCUUUGGUGGGUGGGGGCUCUUCAGCCCUCUUGCCCCUUUGUGCCCUAUUUAAAAGGGUUUGUCAUGAAUGUGAGAGAGCCUCUUUUCCCCUACUGCUCUCCCCUGGAAAUGGAGAUGUAAUGACAUUUGCAGUUAAAAGGAACUCAUUCACAGUUUGUACAGUUUAAGAAUUCAAAUGAAGUGUUUUCUCAUGCUGUAUUGCCUGAAGGAACAGGCGAGAGAGGAAAGCAGAUUUCUGAGGAUUAGUUCUCCUGGUUCCCUUUAUUAUGUUAAGAGUCUGUAGUAAAUGGUGAUGGAGGGAAAAGUGAGGUAAAGUAAAGGUUGUGUGUAGGGGGGGGGGGGCAAGUAAACUCCUCUGCAGGGCCUCAAUGGCAUGAUAACAGUGACAUUGGACACAGUUUACACACACACAUACAGACACUGACAAACAAAUGUCAGAGUGUGCUGCAAUGAGUUUGUUCACGGCCAUUGGCAGUGAAACACCUGUUUUCAGCGGAAGAACAACUCCUGUCACCCCCUCCAGCCCUUGGUUUGUUUUUGGUAAAUAGAGACCUGUGAAGGGAAAGUGAGUGACAUUUAGGAGAGCUUGAACUUUAAUUGUGCUUAAUUUGUAAGAUGUCACAACAGAGAUCACAGUUGGCUUAAGUCUGCACUGUUAACCUGGGUAGCAGAAUAUAUACAUACAUAUAUAUGUAUAUAUUAUCUCUCUUCGAGAAGAACACUAAUUAUCUGGUUAUUUUAUCUCUUAUUAUUAAUUUGUUAAUAUUAACUUGGUUAAUAUUUUGUAAAAGUUAUUGUUUAAAAUAUUACUUUAUGUAUGUUUUUAUAUUAUAAAAAUGUUUAAAUAUAAUAUUUUAUAUAAGUUAAUUAACAAAAUAUUAAAUUAAUAAUUAUAAUAAUAAUGAUUAAAUAUUGAUCAUAUUUUACAAAAUAUUAUGUGGUCUAUUCAUUUGAGAUGAGAAUGUGUUAUAAUAUUUGUGUGUUAUACUAAUCAUUAAAGUUCUGAAAUUACUUCAGUAGUCAAUAAAUAAAUUAAUUAAUAAAAAACAAACUCUCUCUCUCUCUCUCUCUCACACACACACACACACACACACACACACAAAAUUCUGGUAUUCCUUUAAUUUUGUAAUUUGGUCAUAUUUUAAUGGCAGUUUUUUAUAUCUACAGAACAACUUCCUCUCAAUCAGUAUGACUUCCGAAAUGCAGUGGGAAUGUCUGAGUGCAGAAUCAACCAAUCAGAAAUUUGCAAAAAGGUAUUAUGUUCCCUUCAGUUUCAUGCAGCAUGCAGAUCAUGUUUCCACAAGGCCUGCAUCUUGUUGUUCCGCCCUGCCUUCCCACUGAUCUCUGGGUUUUUUUAAGGUGUCAGGCUGUAAUUAACCAUUCCCUUUGCUACCACAGUGUUACCUGAGCUGUUCUCCAAGCUAGAUGGGCCCAGAGAUCUGCCGCACUACCCACAACACUGUUUUCAUCGAAUAUCUCCAACUUUGUUCACAUGAAGAUUACCUGCUCUGAAGAAAAUGGAUAAGAAUGAUCAUAUAUAGCUGCUUUUUUGCCCACCUACACUGUCUAUCUCUUAAACACGCCUAUUUACAUGAGAGUGAACAUAGCUUCUGCCUGAUAUGCUUGAGCUGUAAAGGUAAAGCCUUUAUUAUCUCGGCAGGCAGCAGAAGGUGUCAUCUUCAUUGGACCUGACACACAUGCUACUCAAACCAUGGGAGACAAGAUCAGAGGCAAAUUAAUCGCCAAGAUGCCAAGAAGACAGCAAUACAGGAUGAAGUUUAUUUACAUCGCUGUCAACUGUUCCCUGCAUAGCAACAAAGCCAAUGAUUUCCACAUAAGAGCAGUAGGGAGACUCGGGUAGACAGCCCCUCCAGAGCCCGCUGAAGUGAAGCAUUAGUUGGUGAAACAGUAAGGAUGGUCCUGAUGAUACCCGUUUAGCAGUGGCUGACAUGAGUAGAGGUCUAUCAAGGAGGUCUGUUAAGCUAAUGGCGAGACAGAAACCCAUAUGGGAGGCCUUUUCCUAUGGAUACAGCUGCUGCGUUCCAGCUCUGUAGCUCUACGUUUGUGGGUUCAAUUAACUCAUACUGAUGCUUGCUUAAUUCAAUCUCCUGUUAGAAAUGUUUCAGUGUGCCAACAUAAUAACUGUAAUCACCUUGUCAUCAAGUCCCAUUGAACUCAAUCAUCCGCCUCUGAAAUGCAUUAUUCCCGUGUUUGACAGCCUACAGAGUCUUCAUGUUACUUUGUGUUCAUCUGAUCAUGAUUGAGAGAUUUAAAUGAACUUUUUUUUUAGACCUCUUUGCUGAGGUAGCACGUAUCCCAUGUUAUUUUACAAAUGGUCAGUUGUCAUAAUCUUAAUUUUACUGGCUCAAAGUUUCAAAUUAAGUUGCUCUCUGCUGGUAGGCUUUGCUUUCAGAUGCAUUAAAUUUAUAUGAAUCAACUGUAAAGACAUUUAUAAUGUUGAAAAAUAUUUCUUUAUCAAAUAAAUGCUGUUCUUUUGAACUUUCUAUUCAUCAAAAAUCUUGAAAAAAGGCAUCAUGGUUUCCACAAAAAUAUUAAACAGCACAACUGUUUUCAAAAAUUGAUAAUAAUAAGGAAUGUUUCUUGAGCAGCAUAUUAGAAUGGUUUCUGAAGGAUCAUGUGACACUGAAGACUGGAGUAAUAGCUAAUGGAAAUUCAGCUUUGCUAUCAUAGGAAUAGAUGACAUUUCAAAAUAUAUUAAAAUAGAAAGUUUGUUUGAUGUUUGUUUAUUUAAAAAACAUUAAAAAAAAAUAAUGGGACUCCAAAGUUUUGAACUUCACACAUAUUAAUCAAACUUCACUUGUUCUUGGCUUUGUGUGCUUUGCUUUUAAAAAAAAUGGAGGUGAUGCCUGAUGUGUAUUUAAUUCUUCAAAUAUUCAAUUACACGUUGUGUCAUGUAUAAUAACGGAGCAAGUUAACCUACUGACUGAUGGACACAAUGCUGGAUCUUCUCCUAAUCACUCUUUCGUUCUCUUUAACAGAACCAUGAUGGUACGAUGGCUCUGACAUUCUGUUCAUACCCCCAUCCAUUGAUUGUCUGCACCAUAAGCCCCAAGAGGGAGCUUAUUUGGGCCUGGCUGCAGCAUGCGGGUGUGUUAGGGAGCACAGGGUGGUCCCAUGGACCAGAGAGGGCAGCUAACUGGAGUAAACAGGACUCAGCAGGCUUAGUGUUUGUGUUUACUCUGCUGGAGAGGAGGCCAUUAGAGCAAACAGCCAGCGUUUCUUCACAUGUUGCUGAAAAUCACCCCAACCUUCAUUCACUCCUGUUUGGCACUACUAACACCCAGCCAGUGUGCCCAGAUGGCCCUGCUUUCCAGAUCUCUCACUGUUUCUGCCCUCUCUCCCCUCCCUCAAUGUGCCGUGGCGUCAUUAAAAGUGUCUGUGAGCGGGAGGUGUAAAAAAGGGUGCCGAGAGAGGAAGCAGAAAACAAUUUAGUGGCAUUUAAAAAUAAAGUCCUCCCCCUAUUUACAUGGCCUAUCUAAUCCAAUCUAGGCUGUGUCUGCAUUUUUAAUUUGCACAUUCAAGCAAGCUUCAGAGAGGAACCUAGGCUUAAUUAGUUUAGUUAUCUCCCCUCAUGAAUGGAUAAAGUUCCCACACUGCUGGUGUUUCAGAUGAAGCCUAAUUGGAUUUCGAGGCCAAAAACAAAAGGAGUAAUAAAAGAAAUGAGGGUUAGAUAACAGAGGAAGAUUGAAUUGAUAAAGUGAAAGGGGAAUGAACUGUAGUCACAGCUGAGGAGAGAGACAAGAUGCGGUCGAGAUCCUCGUUUGAGGUCAAAAUCAGUGUAUUAGGGCCAAUGACAUAUGAAGAAAAAUCUUUUUAAAGAAUGAAAAAAAAAUGAAUUGGAAACUCUUAGAAAUGUACUCUUUUCUUAUUAGUUUCAUGUGGUAUAACCAAGUACAAACACUGUGAAGAUGUGCAAAAUAUCUUCUCAAAUAUAUAUGAGUAAUCUUAAUCAUUAUUUCCAAACAAAGUUAGUAUAUAAUAUUAUGUUUAAUAAGUUCAAUAUGUUAUAUUUAACAUAUAAAGUAUUUUUGAAUUUAAAAUUCAUAAAUAUUUAAAUUUUUGGAUAAUCUCCCUGCAUGAUAUUGUACACUUGAUCUCACACUACCUUUCUAAUAUUUAAUCAUAAAUUACUUGUAUAAAUAUUUUAGUUUUUCUUAUUUUUCUGAAUUUUUGUCUUUUAAUUGGCCUUUAUCUUCAUUAUAUCAGGACAGUUGUAUGUGAUGUUUUCUAUGUUUUAUAUAUUACUGAAACAUUUUGCAUUUUAAAUGACACAAAAUUUACAACACCCCCUCAAGACCCCUCCAGGGGUUUCAGUGCAAUUUGCCAGAAAUGGCGCAUUUGAAUAUAAAAUCCAGGCCUCAAGAAAAGUAAGCCCACAUUCGGUUUUAAAUCUCAACCAGUCUUUGCCAGUAUACCGUAAUAAUACAGUUUCGUUCAGCUAGAGCAAAAGUGUCAGCAUGUUUAAAAAUCAUCAUUCUUAAAGAGACAACUGAGCCUGAGUAAAUCAAUUAUUGAACAUUACCCUUCAUUGUGAUAUCUGAUUCGAACAAGGUCAAGGGAAUUAUUAAUAACCUUCUGUUCUCUUUCACAGACACGUUUACAAAUUAGCACUUCUCACAGGCCUGGGACCUGCUUUAUGAAGCCGAGUUUUCGGAGCAGCCUGGAAGUGUGAAAGAGUUCCAGAGGGCAGAGCAUUUGGAGAAGUCUAGAUAAUGAGAGUCUUUUGUUAAUGCCAUUGAUCUCGAUUCAAUUAGUGAAAAGGGCCCAUGUUUGUGACUACUGUGUGCACAGCAUAUGUGUGUUUCUGUAUGUAAUUGACUUUGUAAGUCCUCAAAGAGUAAACUUGUAGCAGUUUCAAACAUUCAAUGUUAUUGUCAAGCACAAAUGAACAGCCAAGUAUGUGUGUCUUUUUUCUGUUUCUGAUUUUUUUUUUUUUUCUUUUUUUUCUUUAGCCAACUGAGCUGGUUUGGGGCUGAUCUUGUGUGAUGUAUAGAUUAAUUAAAUAAGCAUAUUGAUUCCUGUUCUGGCAACACAGAGUGUGGGGUUUUAAUUAGCCCACGCUUGAGUGUGUUAAAAUUCCUGUCUUAUCUGUGUGGAACCAAGUGGAACUAAAAACUGAAUGCAUGAGGGCUGCUCAUCAACUCAAAAUCUCCAAUAACCUUUUUUUCCCCCUUGUUUGUUUUAGUCCAACCCAAACCUCAAACUUUAUUGUAAGUGUAUGAUUUAUAUGCCAACAUUUUCAUUCCCAAUAUUAAUUUUUUUAUCUCCAAGGAAUACAAAAUAGUUAAGUAAAUAAUACAUAUAUAAAACAAACAAUUAUGUAUGUAUGUGUGUGUAUAUAUAUAUACAAAUAUACAAAGACUGUUUUGAGUGAUUAAUCACUCUGAUGUGGUCUUAAUUUUUAAGUUAUUUCUUUCAAAAAAUCUUAUUUGAAACUAAAAAAUAUACUAAAUAUUUUUCUGAUACAGGUUUUAAAAUAUCAAAGUUUUACUUAUAUUUCCUUGUAGUAUUUUUGGAUAUAUAAAUACAGUGAUCCAUAUGACCAUAAUACGGUGGCCAAGAAAUGCAAAACAGAUUACAAUUCUGAAAACAAAAUAACAAAUUACAAAUGCAAACCUAAAAAACAAAAUAACAAUUCAGAAAACACAACAACAAUUCAGAAAAUAUUAUAACAAGUCAGAAAACACAAUGA
ensembl:lncRNA